GAUGGGGCUGCGGCCGAUCAGGCAGUUGGUGAGGUAAUGGCUCACCAAACCUUUGACCGGUACGGGCCAUGAGAGUGGUAGCCCGGAGAUGGAUACUGAGACAAGGAUCCAGGCCCUACGGGGCGCAGCAGGCGCGAAACCUCCUCAAUGCACUCACGUGCGAAGGGGUUACCUCGAGUGCCAUCUGAAGAAGGUGGCUUUUCCUUGGUCUAAAUAGCCUUGGGAAUAAGAGGGGGGCAAGACUGGUGUCAGCCGCCGCGGUAACACCAGCCCCUCGAGUGGUGGGGAUGAUUAUUUGGCCUAAAGCGUCCGUAGCCGGCCGAGUAAGUUUCCCGUUAAAUCCAGCGUCUCAAGCGUUGGACUGCGGGAAAUACUGCCCGGCUAGAGAGUGGGAGAGGUAGGCGGUAUUCUGGGGGUAGGGGCGAAAUCCUUUGAUCCCCGGAGGACCACCAGUGGCGAAGGCUGCUUACUAGAACACGUCUGACGGUCAGGGACGAAAGCUGGGG
rnacentral:rRNA from 1 species